UAGAGACAGCGUUUCACCAUAUUGGCCAGGCUGGUCUCAAAUUCCUGACUUCCAGUGAUGUGCCCACCUCGGCCUCCCAAACUGCUGGGAUCCACUUUGCUCUGCCUCAGGGACCUGCAGCCAAGUUCGUUACGGACCAGCUUGCUGAGUUGUCUUGAAAAGCGGGCUUACAGGUGUUCUAAGCCCAUGUUUUAUCCUGAAGUUCCCCUCGACAAGAAAAACGAAUUCAUAGCACAAAGUACACCAGUUUAAGACUAGCCUUAGAAUUCUUUUUUGCAUUAAUCCAAACAGAAGAGAUUUGUUUUACCAUUCCUUCAAUCGUUCCCACAGAGAGAAGUCAGAAAUCUGACUGCGUAUGUCAAGCCUCUGAGCCCAAGCCGGCCUGUAUACAUCCAGAUAGCCUGAAGCAACUGAAGAAUCACAAAAGAAGUGAAAAUGGCCGGUUCCUGACUUAACUGAUGACAUUACCUUGUGAAAUUCCUUCUCCUGGCCCAGGAGCUCCCCACCAAGCACCUUGUGACCCCCGCCCUGCCCUCAAGAGAACAACCCCCUUUGACUGUAAUUUUCCACUACCCACACAAAUCCUAUAAAACUGCCUCACCCCUAGUUCCCUUUGCUGACUCUUUUUUCAGAUUCAGCCCACCUGCACCCAGGUGAUUAAAAAGCUUUAUUGCUCACA